rnacentral:rRNA from 1 species
GAUGAACGCUAGCGGCAGGCUUAAUACAUGCAAGUCGAGGGGCAGCACGAAUAGCAAUAUUUGGUGGCGACCGGCGCACGGGUGCGUAACACGUAUACAAUCUACCUUAAACAGGGGGAUAGCCUUUCGAAAGAGAGAUUAAUACCCCGUAACAAAUUGAAUGGCAUCAUUUGAUUUUGAAAGCUCCGGCGGUUUAAGAUGAGUAUGCGUCUGAUUAGCUAGUAGGUGAGGUAACGGCUCACCUAGGCUACGAUCAGUAGGGGAUCUGAGAGGACUAACCCCCCACACUGGUACUGAGACACGGGACCAGACUCCUACGGGAGGCAGCAGUAAGGAAUAUUGGUCAAUGGAGGCAACUCUGAACCAGCCAUGCCGCGUGCAGGGAUGAAGGGCCCUAGUGGGUCGUAAACUGCUUUUUAUACCAGAGAAAACCUCAGUACGUGUACUGAGCU